GGGCAUGGUGAAUAUUUAAUACAUCUACAAGGAUGGAUAUAGCUUCCACAACAGUGACUGAAAAGAAUCUUUUCCAUCUGAGUACCAUUGGCAAAGUAACUUGGGUUUUACUCUUGUGAUUCAUGGUGUCGCUGUUUCAAUGGAUGUAGCUGUCUCGAGAGAUUACAGCCAGGCUUGCACUGCCCUUCAGAUGACAAACCAAGGGGGUCUCAGUGCCCUGACCUAGAGGACCAUGACUGCAAGUGUGAUCAGCUCCCUGUUGACCCUGAGGCUGUUGCUCCCUACAGCUGCUGCUGAUCCAGCUAGAUCCCUACAUGUUGUGAGGUGCCUCAGGGAGGCAAAGAUUUAGUUUCAGAUAAGCAUUGUAUAAGUGAGAUGCAUGGCUGUAAGCCUGGCUAGUGUGAAUUUUGACCUCCUGCUUUGGAGAUAGGCCAUGUGAGGCCUGGAUGAAGUUGUCCCACCCCAGAUCUCGUGGGGGGUGGCCCAGGAGUUCUGACUGGGUUUGAGCCCCUGGGGUUUCUCCCUUGUUGUGUUUCUAGUGGUCCCUGACCCUGAACCCCACCCUGGUUCUGUCCCUCAAAACCCCUCACCCUGCCUUUGGCCCUCUCUGUCUCUGAAUCUGAGUUUGUUCCCAUGCUGAAUAAA